GCCUAGGUAGCUUAGAGAGUGCGUCUGCCUUGUAAGCGCUGGUCGCGGGUUCGAUUCCCGCCCGGGACG
rfam:Asian citrus Psyllid, Diaphorina citri - Florida Strain, whole genome shotgun sequence.